rnacentral:lncRNA from 1 species
UGCUACUCUGUAUUUGCCCCACUGAUAAUCAGAGUGGCGAGGUGGUUGCUGUUGGAGAGGGAAGAACCAUUGGGGAUAGCAAAGUACAAGUUGGCAUUAAGGUAUGGCCUGUGCAGUCACUUUGUUCCAGUCUUAUGAGUAGAAUUUUUGUUAUAACGAAUGCAGUCUGAAGCAUGCUAAAAUGCUGAUAUGAUGAAGCUUGCAAUGUGCUUGUCUUACCUGUUUGGAUUCUAGGAUUUUACGCAUGUUGUGCCAGUUUUGUUGUAUCUGGUUCGGUCCUUUUAUAUAUUUUGCCGUGAUAAUUAGUUUUCAGUAACUCAAUAUGCUCAAAUAUUAUGAGUAGGGUUUUAGUUAUAACAAAUCCAGUCAGAAGCAUGCUAAAGUGCUCGUGGAUCCGGUUUAGUAUGUGCCAUGAACUGCUAGAUGCGUACGCGUUGAUGGGUCUGUACGCGAUUUGCUCUGGGUUCUCUAGCUCUUACACCUUUUUUUGAAUUGUUCACAAAUAUAUGAUCUUGCUAGAGGCCGGACUUGCUAUCUCUUGACAGUCGGUCGCUUGUUUGCUGCACGGCAGCAGCAACAUGCAGCACAAGCCAGUAUAUAGCAUGUUGACGAUGUAUCUAGCACUCAGUAUCAUUCUUAAGCAAAGCUACAGUUUUUUGCUUUACUUUCAGUGUUUCUUUGACCUAUGUACAGUGUCAACAAAGAUCUGAAUUACAGUGCGGUGUCCUUAAAAUUCCAGUCCAAAUUGUAGUGUAAUUUCCAUUUUGUAAUAUAUCAUAUGUAAAUUACAGUGUAAUGUGAGUGUACUUGCAGUUCUUUUUACAAUGUAUGUACACUGUAAACUCACUCCAAUUGCAGUACAUUUGGUCUCUGUAGAUUGGACAUGGAAGGGGUUUUUUUAACUGAAAUAUCACUCUAGUGUAUUUUGAAAAUUCCAAUCAAACUUUUAGUGUAUUUUUCAUUCUGGAAUUUAUUCCAUGUAAGUUUCACUGCCAUUGUACUUACACUGUAACUCACACUAAUUGCCCUAUUUUACAGUGCAAUUUUAAGUGGUUUUCACUGGAACUUAUUGUUUGUUUUACUAUCAACAUAAUUACGGUAAAUCUUCUGGUAAUCCUCUUCAUUGUAAAUCUAUUGCUAAUGAAUUGUAAAUCUACUGCAAAAUCACUGUAAAUCUGUUUUACAGUGUAAUUUUAAGUGGGUUUCACUGAAAUUUAUUGUUUAUUUUACUGUGAACAUAAUUACUGUAAACCUUAUAAUAAUUCACUGUAAAUCUACUGCAAAAUCACUGUAAAUCUACUGCAAAUCUGUUUUACAGUGUAAUUUUAAGUGGUUUCCAUUGGAAUUUAUAGUUUGUUUUACUAUAUGAACAUAAUUACUGUAAAUCUUCUACUAAUUCACUGUAAAUCUAUUGCUAAUGAAUUGUAAAUCUACUGGAAAAUCAAGUCUGUUCAUCCAACGACCCCAUGCUCCUUUCUUAUUCUGGUUUCUUAUUGUUCUUGCAAAGGGGGGAGGGCUAGUGAAAGGGAUGCAUAAGUUUUCUUGCCCUGCAAGUCCAACUCUCCUUGGUAUACUAUUUCUGGAGAUUGUUGUGAAAUUGUUGUUAUAUUGUUUAGCCCUGCCCCCAUCCUCCAAGAUCUAAUAUGCAUGUUUCCAUGCUGUAUAUUUUCUUUGCUAAACUGUUUGUUGUGGUUAAUAGUGAGGCCGUGAUAUUUGGUAUUCUGAACAUUCGUUUGAUAUGUAUGCCGCACUUUUCAACUCAUGUCAUGUUUAAUUAUUGAUGAUAUAUAUUUGCAGAUAUUUUGCCUAACUUCAAGAUGAGUGUUCUCCCUUUUAUACAAGUGAAGUCAGGCUGAAGAUAUUCAAAGAAGGGAUAACAUAUUUUUGUAUAAAAAGUUAUGUAUUGAUAGUUGGGUUAUGUGCAUGAUGUAAACUCUCGAAUUUCAUAUAUCUUCUCUCUGUUUCUAAAUGAAAUAUUUUCUAAAUGAAAUAUUGUAUAUUUCUGAAUUACAAUUGUUCCGUUUUGUUUAUAAUAGUGAUUAUGUAUGUGAUUUGAAAAUAAAAGAGGCUGGAAUUGUUUGACAAAAUACAAAAUUUAUGGUGUGGAUUCGAAUUUUGAGGUCAGAAUGACAUGUGGGACCAAUCUGACUAGUGGGACCAGUACAAAAAUAAAAUGGCCAAAAAACAAAAUCAAUAGAAAGUAAAAG